AAGAAGAAGAAACAUGAAUGGUUCAUUCCAGCUCUGAGACCUCCCACAAACUAUGGACCAAAUUCCGGACCAGUUUAAUGACCCUUGUCAUCAGUGACAGUUUCUUCUCUGGAGGAUCUUGUGGUCAAGAGUAAUCUGAAUCAAAUGCAAAGGAGUUUGUUCCUGGGGUGAAGUACUAAAUAUUUGAGUAGACGGGGCCCUCUUUGGUGGAUGUAGCACAAUUUCCACACUGUGAAGGCAGUAUUAGAAGACUUAAUUGUAAAAGCUUCUCCCUUCUUGUCACUGUGUUACACUUAUGCAUUGCCCAAAGUUUUGUUAGUCUUGCAUGCUUAAUAAAAGUGCCUGAGACUGUUAUUAAGUAAAAAGCUGUCAAACGUUUACUGAAAAUAAUUGGACCCUUGGCUUGAUGUGAAGGACAGUGAGGAAAGAAGCACCAGUCAAGUUGUGACAAAUCAGACAACCUCUGAAAGAGAUUUAGAAAUUUGACUAAAUGAUUUGUUUUAAUUGAGGACUAAACUGGUCACUUGGUUGUUAACCAACACCUGUUAAUGCCCUAACUUAAAAAAAAAGUCACAUUUUGGAAGUAAAGUUCUAAUUGUUACACAAAAUUACUUCGUUCAGACUUCAGUAUUGUUACUUAUCGUAUUUGUCCCCGUGGAGAGGAACUUGUAUUUCAAGAUUAGACGUGGUAAUGAAAGAGCUCCACACAAGCAGCUGGUCUCGAGUGGCUCCUGAAGUUACAAAGUAACAAACAGAUGAAAACUACCCCCUGAUUUUUACAUUAUGUUAUCAUGUUAGAAAUGUUGAAACCCACUCCUACUACUUAUACAUCCAAGGAGGAGUGUAAUUUAAAAAUUACGUCAUCUUCCAAGUUCCCCAGUACUUCAUAGCUGUGUCUAUGUAAAUUCUAGCAUAUAACACUUAGUCAAAUUGAACCAAGGAAGUCUUAGCAUUCUGAUUUGAGUGGUGCUUUUCUCCCUUGCUUUGUUAAUCAUCACUACACAGUAGUCUAUCAGCACAACAAACUUUUCUUUUAACAAAGCUAGAACAGUUUUGGCUUCUUAAACUUCCAUAUUUGGGUAGGUUAAGCUGCCAUACGUGUUCAGUGUGAAUAGUGUUUAAGUUGAAAAUAUUGUAAAAAAAUUAUAUUUUUUCAAAAAUAUUUAAAAAAAUAAAUAAUAGUAGAACUGA